UACGUAGGGUGCAAGCGUUAAUCGGAAUUACUGGUCGUAAAGCGUGCGCAGGCGGUGAUGUAAGACAGUUGUGAAAUCCCCGGGCUCAACCUGGGAACUGCAUCUGUGACUGCAUCGCUGGAGUGCGGCAGAGGGGGAUGAAAUUCCGCGUGUAGCAGUGAAAUGCGUAGAUAUGCGGAGGAACACCGAUGGCGAAGGCAAUCCCCUGGGCCUGCACUGACGCUCAUGCACGAAAGCGUGGGGAGCAAACAGG
rnacentral:rRNA from 1 species